UACGAAGGGGGCUAGCGUUGCUCGGAAUCACUGGGCGUAAAGCGUGCGCAGGCGGCUUACUAAGACAGGUGUGAAAGCCCCGAGCUUAACUUGGGAAUGGCGCUUGUGACUGGUAGGCUGGAGUGUGGCAGAGGGAGGUGGAAUUCCACGUGUAGCAGUGAAAUGCGUAGAGAUGUGGAGGAACACCGAUGGCGAAGGCAGCCUCCUGGGCCAGCACUGACGCUCAUGCACGAAAGCGUGGGGAGCAAACAGG
rnacentral:rRNA from 1 species